UCCAGGGUAGCCGAGUGGACAUGGCACCUGCCCGGUAAGCAGAAGAUUGUGGGUUCGAUUCCCGCCCCUGGAC
rnacentral:tRNA from 1 species